rnacentral:rRNA from 1 species
AGUUUGUUGAAUUUAUAAUAAGUAUUUUCUGCCCAGUGAUUAUUUAAAUGGCCGCGGUAUUUUGACUGUGCAAAGGUAGCAUAAUCAUUUGUCUAUUAAUUGUGGACUAGUAUGAAUGAAUUUACGGAAAUAGUAUUGUCUCCUUUUUUUUUUUUUAAUUUUCUUUUUAGGUGAAGAAGCCUAUAUUAUUAAAUAAGACGAGAAGACCCUAUUGAUCUUUAUUAACAUUAUAAUAAUUUUUAUUUUUUUAUUCUAUCUUAAUUUAGUUGGGGCAACUGAGGAGGAAUUUUUAUUCUCUUUUAUUUUUAUAUUGAUCCUUUUUUUUGAUUAUAAGAAAAAGUUACCAUAGGGAUAACAGCGUUAUUAUUUUGGAGAGUUCUUAUCAAUAAAGUAGUUUGCGACCUCGAUGUUGGACUAGGAUUACCUGAAGGGGCAGUUUUUUUCUUGGUAGGUCUGUUCAACCUUUAAAAUCCU